CAUUAGCUGAGGAAAAGAAACCAACAGGGAUUGCCCUAGUAACGGCGAGUGAACAGGCAAGAGCUCAGAUUUGAAAGGCACUUUUGUGCCGUUGUAUUCUGAAGUUAGGGUCCUGAGAAACGAUGCUUAAGUCUUCUGGAAAGGAGCGCCAUGGAGGGUGAUAGCCCCGUCUAGCAUUGACCUCAUAUAGGAUCUUAACAUGGAGUCGAGUUGUUUGGGAAUGCAGCUCAAAUGGGUGGUAUGCUCCAUCUAAAGCUAAAUAUCUGCGAGAGACCGAUAGUAAACAAGUACUGUGAGGGAAAGAUGAAAAGAACUUUGAAAAGAGAGUGAAAAAGUACGUGAAAUUGUUGAAAUGGAAGGGUAGGCCGCUAACCAUGUAGAGCCGUGUUUGGGGGGAAGAUAAAUGCUGUAGAAUGUAGCUCCUCGGAGUAUUAUAGAUGCAGUUCAUAUUCCCACCCGAGCGCGAGGAUCUCAGGUUCUACUAAAUGGUGGUCUACCACCCGUCUUAA
rnacentral:rRNA from 1 species